AGUGAACCAGGGGAGGAAAGAAUGAGGAAAUCCUCAAGAGUUUUACUAGUGAUCCUGUGGCUUCAGUUAACAUGGAUGAGGAGCCAGCAGAAGGGAGUGGAGCAGAGCCCUGCAUCUCUGCAUGUUCCAGAGGGAGCCAUCGCCUCUCUCAACUGCACUUAUACUGACAGUGCUUCUCAGUACUUCUCAUGGUACAGACAGUACCCCAGCAAAGGCCUUGAGUUGCUCGUUUACAGUUACGGAUCUUUGAAUAAAGACAAAGAGGAAGGAAGAUUCACAGCCGAUGUCAAUAAAGCCAACAAGUAUGUCUCCCUGCUCAUCAGAGACUCCGAGCCAAGUGACUCAGCCACCUACCUCUGUGCAGUGAGCGCACAGUGCUCCCCAGGCACCUGCAGUCUGUACCCAAAACUGGUGGGGCCCCAGCAAUGCCUGAUGUAG